rnacentral:rRNA from 1 species
CAGCACCUCAAGUGGUCAGGAUGAUUAUUGGGCCUAAAGCAUCCGUAGCCGGCGCUGUAAGUUUUCGGUUAAAUCUGUACGCUCAACGUAUAGGCUGCCGGGAAUACUGCAGCGCUAGGGAGUGGGAGAGGUAGACGGUACUCGGUAGGAAGGGGUAAAAUCCUUUGAUCUAUUGAUGACCACCUGUGGCGAAGGCGGUCUACCAGAACACGUCCGACGGUGAGGGAUGAAAGCUGGGGGAGCAAACCGGAUUAGAUACCCGAGUAGUCC